UACAGAGGAUGCAAGCGUUAUCCGGAAUCACUGGGCAUAAAGCGUCUGUAGGUGGUUUGGUAAGUCUGCUGUUAAAGACUGGGGCUCAACCCCAGAAAAGCAGUGGAAACUGCUAGACUUGAGUGUGGUAGAGGUAGAGGGAAUUCCUAGUGUAGCGGUGAAAUGCGUAGAUAUUAGGAAGAACACCAAUGGCGAAGGCACUCUACUGGACCAUAACUGACACUGAGAGACGACAGCUAGGGGAGCAAAUGGG
rnacentral:rRNA from 1 species